rnacentral:piRNA from 1 species
UGCUGAUGGAAGUCUUCGGUACACUGU